rnacentral:misc_RNA from 1 species
GGGAAUUUGAAUGACCGACUCAUUAGCAGCAGCAUUUGCAUCUUCAUAAUGAAGCAGUAUUGGAGUCAGAUUUAAUAUUUUCGUGGGAAUUUUUUUCAAGGAAUGAGAGAAAUUUUGGUAUGCAUACUAGCAUUUUGUAUGAACAUUUUAAAGUUUUAGACCUAUUGUAUUAGGGAUACCCAAUGAAGGGUAGCCCAUAUAUAUACUUACUCAAACUCUACACUACUCAAUAAUGUUCACUAGUAUUUCUAAUUUCUAGGGUGAAUCCAUUUG